UACAGAGGUCCCAAGCGUUGUUCGGAUUCACUGGGCGUAAAGGGUGCGUAGGUGGUUAGGUAAGUCCGAUGUGAAAUCUCCAGGCUCAACCUGGAAAUGGCAUUGGAUACUAUCUAGCUUGAGGAGUGGAGGGGGGACUGGAAUUCUCGGUGUAGCAGUGAAAUGCGUAGAUAUCAAGAGGAACACCUGAGGUGAAGACGGGUUGCUGGGCCGACACUGACGCUGACAGCGCGAAAGCCAGGGGAGGCAAACGGG
rnacentral:rRNA from 1 species